rnacentral:ncRNA from 1 species
UCACGCACAGGGCAAACCACUUGAAAAGGUGGGACGCAAAGCCUCCGGCCUAAACCCAAUCAGGUAGGUAGCGGGGUUACCGAU